rnacentral:rRNA from 1 species
GACGGGGGGUCCUAGCGUUGUUCGGAAUCAUUGGGCGUAAAGGGGGCGUAGGUGGCUAUGCAAGUCAGGAGUGAAAGCCCUGGGCUUAACCCAGGAAGUGCUUUUGAAACUGCAUAGCUUGAGUGUGGGAGAGGAUAGUGGAAUUCCUGGUGUAGUGGUGAAAUACGUAGAUAUCAGGAGGAACACCGGUGGCGAAGGCGGCUAUCUGGCCCAACACUGACACUGAGUCCCUAAAGCGUGGGGAUCAAACAGG